rnacentral:rRNA from 1 species
UGGGGAAUAUUGGACAAUGGGCGAAAGCCUGAUCCAGCCAUGCCGCGUGUGUGAAGAAGGCCUUAUGGUUGUAAAGCACUUUAAGCGAGGAGGAGGGUACUGGUAUUAAUACUACCAGGUACUGGACGUUCCUCGCAGAAUAAGCACCGGCUAACUCUGUGCCAGCAGCCGCGGUAAUACAGAGGGUGCGAGCGUUAAUCGGAUUUACUGGGCGUAAAGCGUGCGUAGGCGGCUAAUUGAGUCGGAUGUGAAAUCCCCGAGCUUAACUUGGGAAUUGCAUUCGAUACUGGUUAGGUAGAGUGUGGGAGAGGGUGGUAGAAGUCCAGGUGUAGCGGUGAAAUGCGUAGAGAUGUGGAGGAAUACCGAUGGCGAAGGCAGCCAUCUGGCCUAACACUGACGCUGAGGUACGAAAGCAUGGGGAGCAAACAGG